rnacentral:rRNA from 1 species
UACGUAGGGGGCGAGCGUUGUCCGGAUUUAUUGGGCGUAAAGAGCUCGUAGGCGGUUUGUCGCGUCUGCCGUGAAAGUCCGGGGCUCAACUCCGGAUCUGCGGUGGGUACGGGCAGACUAGAGUGAUGUAGGGGAGACUGGAAUUCCUGGUGUAGCGGUAGAAAUGCGCAGAUAUCAGGAGGAACACCGAUGGCGAAGGCAGGUCUCUGGGCAUUAACUGACGCUGAGGAGCGAAAGCAUGGGGAGCGAACAGG